rnacentral:lncRNA from 1 species
GCUGGUCGAGUUGAUUAAACUUUAGAUCAGGAAGUAUUAAAACUCACUGGAGGCGUGGAGAGAGGCAUCGAACUGGAUGAUACGUCUGAAGCCUCUCAUCCUCUUGCUCCGUUUGUCACCCUCCUCCUACCUGUAUCUCAUCCCUCUCUGCUGCUGAUUCUAACCUCAAAUCCCUUCUCUUGUAUCCAAUAUUGGUACCUAUAUGAUUGCUUAUCCCAUGUAUGCGUUUGGGUCAUGACAAUUGGUAUUCAUAGCCAAUAAAUUUCCUUAAAU